CGAGUUAUGUCAUUUAUCAUCCAAAAUGAAAUCUAUCCGGUCGAUGAAUGCAAACAACUCUACUUCAUCAUCCCAAGGAAAACCAAAAGAUUGUUCUUCCAUGAUACCCGUUCGAAAGCUCUGAUUAUCUUAGUAAGUCCUCUCAUUCCCGCUUCUUCGCCAAUUAAAACAAUAUUCCUUUUAGUAUUUUAAAACAAUCACUAUCCUACCAUUAUGCAUAAGUUUAUAGUAUUAGCGUUCUUAUACCAUAUAACGUUAUCUAAUGGUUGAUUCUCCCAUAAAGUAAUACUUUCGCUGCCUUUCUAUCUUCUUGUUCGUGUGCGCGCCAUAGUACCACAUAGCAUUAAAGUAAUAACAUAAUUUGAUACACAGAUCAUAUGAAUUAUAAUAUAUCCAUCUAUACUUUGAUCGUUUGCCAUUGUCUUAAUUUGCAUCUUCAAAUGCUACAAGGCAUGUGUUAUCCACCCCUAACAAGGGGAAAAGACAAUAGAAAGCAAAAUAAACAUAUUUUUGUUCGAUAAGUUACGUAUUUGAAAUGCCUGCCAACACUUUCCAGCAAAUAGUUUCAUAGCUCGAGGGAUUGAAAUAUGACAGAUGUUCUCUGAAAGCUUUCCUCUUUUGUAAAGACGACGUUGAAUCAUUUUUAUCCCCGUAACCCUCCCUCCUAAAGGCCUACUCAUUAGGUGAAGAGCUCAUGAAUUACACGAGAGAGAUUGCCCAAAAUUAAGAAUAAGCGGUUAAAUUUCAUGAUGUCAAAUGAGAAUUGCCCAUAGGCCAACCACUCUUUACCUGUACCAAGAGAACGAUAGGCACCUCAACAUACUACUACUUGCAAGGUAAAACAGCAAAAUUGAAUUUUUCACCAUCUGUGAACUAGAAAUCCAAUAUAGUUGUAUCAUAAAUAAUUUUGUCCUACAAAAGAUUGAAGAUAGCUAGCCUCUUUCCCAUGAACACUUUCCUCACAUUUAUAGGUUAACAAAAUCAAUCUAUCUAAAUCAGGCAGAUUUCAACUUGGCAGAUGUGGACGCCAGAUGUGAAACGGUUCUGUGUCCUACGAAUAGUAAGAAGAUCCCCAAGAAUCCAAGCGCUCUUAGUGUUUGGAACAGAUUCCACUGCAAG
rnacentral:lncRNA from 1 species